rnacentral:lncRNA from 1 species
GACAGUUUUAAUUCUCGGGGGUACAUAAACACCGAAUUACUUGUAUUUGUAUAUUAAUAUAUUUUAUAUAUCUUUUUACUGAAUAUCCUUUUUAUUUCGUAUUAACAUAUAUUACUAAAAAUAUUUAUAUAUUUUUUAUGAAUAAAAAAUAAUGUGAUAUUUUAAUAAAACAUUUAGUUCAUAAUCAUAUUAAAUGUUUCAACAAAAAUAACACUAUUUUUUUAAGUGAAACAUCAGAAAAUAUUAUUUC